rnacentral:rRNA from 1 species
UACAUGCAAGUCGAGCGAAUCUAUGGGAGCUUGCUCCCACUGGUUAGCGGCGGACGGGUGAGUAACACGUGGGCAACCUGCCUGUAAGACUGGGAUAACUUCGGGAAACCGGAGCUAAUACCGGAUAAUCUUUUUCAACUCAUGUUGGAAAACUGAAAGUCGGUUUCGGCUGACACUCACAGAUGGGCCCGCGGCGCAUUAGCUAGUUGGUGAGGUAACGGCUCACCAAGGCGACGAUGCGUAGCCGACCUGAGAGGGUGAUCGGCCACACUGGGACUGAGACACGGCCCAGACUCCUACGGGAGGCAGCAGUAGGGAAUCUUCCACAAUGGACGAAAGUCUGAUGGAGCAACGCCGCGUGAGCGAUGAAGGCCUUCGGGUCGUAAAGCUCUGUUGUUAGGGAAGAACAAGUAUCGGAGUAACUGCCGGUACCUUGACGGUACCUAACCAGAAAGCCACGGCUAACUACGUGCCAGCAGCCGCGGUAANGACGUAGGUGGCAAGCGUUGUCCGGAAUUAUUGGGCGUAAAGCGCGCGCAGGCGGUCCUUUAAGUCUGAUGUGAAAGCCCACGGCUCAACCGUGGAGGGUCAUUGGAAACUGGGGGACUUGAGUGCAGAAGAGGAAAGCGGAAUUCCACGUGUAGCGGUGAAAUGCGUAAAGAUGUGGAGGAACACCAGUGGCGAAGGCGGCUUUCUGGUCUGUAACUGACGCUGA